UACGAAGGGGGCUAGCGUUGCUCGGAAUCACUGGGCGUAAAGCGCACGUAGGCGGUUUCUUAAGUCAGGGGUGAAAUCCCGGAGCUCAACUCCGGAACUGCCUUUGAUACUGGGAGACUUGAGUUCGGGAGAGGUGAGUGGAACUGCGAGUGUAGAGGUGAAAUUCGUAGAUAUUCGCAAGAACACCAGUGGCGAAGGCGGCUCACUGGCCAGAUACUGACGCUGAGGUGCGAAAGCGUGGGGAGCAAACAGG
rnacentral:rRNA from 1 species